AUUAUAACUGCCAGAGGGUGAUGUUGCAGCUUUGGAGUGCCUGGCUUUCCUCAUUCUACUUUAGUCCCUGCUGGUCAAUUGUCCUUUUCAAGGCUGCAUGGCCAGCUACAUGCUCAAGGUAGCCUCAGUAUGAGGUAGAAAGGAAUGGGACUAUCACCAUCCAUCUGCAAGAAGGCAGAGUGUUUUCAGAGAGCAAAGGAGGUGGGGACUUUGGUGAUGAGUCAUGCCUUACCCAAGGGUAAAUAUCUGAGUGGAAUGGUUGGAUCAUGGGCGCAGACAAAAUGUGCCAUGAGUGAUGGCCUUGGGUGAUCUACAGACAUCCCUGGCUCUAGCAGUCAUUUGUGUGGGGAGUAAGAUCGCUACAGAAGUUUUGGAAAUAUGUCCAGACAUGGAGGUGCUGCAGAGGAAGGAGGGAGAAUAUGCCUUUCUGCAGAUCUUUCUUGGAAGAGAGAUAUUUCCACUGGUAACAGAAUUUCCCUGGAAGUCAGUGUUUGGAGUUAAAAGAUCAAUUUGUGACCCAAAAAUAUAA
rnacentral:lncRNA from 13 species